rnacentral:rRNA from 13 species
GACCUCGGAUCAGGUAGGGAUACCCGCUGAACUUAAGCAUAUCAAUAAGCGGAGGAAAAGAAACCAACAGGGAUUGCCCUAGUAACGGCGAGUGAAGCGGCAACAGCUCAAAUUUGAAAUCUGGCCCUUUCAGGGUCCGAGUUGUAAUUUGUAGAGGAUGCUUUUGGGCAGCCACCGGUCUAAGUUCCUUGGAACAGGACGUCAUAGAGGGUGAGAAUCCCGUAUGUGACUGGACAGGCACCCUUUGUAAAGCUCCUUCGACGAGUCGAGUUGUUUGGGAAUGCAGCUCUAAAUGGGAGGUAAAUUUCUUCUAAAGCUAAAUACCGGCCAGAGACCGAUAGCGCACAAGUAGAGUGAUCGAAAGAUGAAAAGCACUUUGGAAAGAGAGUUAAAAAGCACGUGAAAUUGUUGAAAGGGAAGGGCUUGCAAUUAGACUUGCCCGCAGUUGUUCAGCUGGUCUUCUGACCGGUUUAUUCUUCUGCGGGCAGGCCAGCAUCAGUUUCGGCGGCCGGAUAAAGGCUCUGGGAAUGUGGCUGUCCUUCGGGGCAGUGUUAUAGCCCAGGGUGUAAUACGGCCAGCCGGGACUGAGGUCCGCGCUUCGGCUAGGAUGCUGGCGUAAUGAUUGUAAGCCGCCCGUCUUGUAACACGGACCAAGGAGUCUAACAUCUAUGCGAGUGUUAGGGUGUCAAACCCUUACGCGUAAUGAAAGUGAACGGAGGUGGGAACCCGCAAGGGUGCACCAUCGACCGAUCCUGAUGUCUUCGGAUGGAUUUGAGUAAGAGCAUAGCUGUUGGGACCCGAAAGAUGGUGAACUAUGCCUGAAUAGG